GGUGAUGUAGGUUGGUCAUGCCUCUGGUAUGUACUGGUCUCACCGAUUCCUCCUUCCUGAUGAGCCGUAAUGCCAUUAAUUUGGUGUUGCGAGGAAUCUGGACUGUUACUUUGAAAAAUUAGAGUGUUUAAAGCAGGCUAACGCUUGAAUACAUUAGCAUGGAAUAAUGAAAUAGGACGUUCGAUCCUAUUUUGUUGGUUUCUAGGAUUGACGUAAUGAUUAAUAGGGAUAGUUGGGC
rnacentral:rRNA from 1 species